GCGGCCUAUCAGCUUGUUGGUGAGGUAAUGGCUCACCAAGGCGACGACGGGUAGCCGGCCUGAGAGGGCGACCGGCCACACUGGGACUGAGACACGGCCCAGACUCCUACGGGAGGCAGCAGUGGGGAAUAUUGGGCAAUGGGCGAAAGCCUGACCCAGCGACGCCGCGUGAGGGACGAAGGCCUUCGGGUUGUAAACCUCUUUCAGCAGGGAAGAAGCGAAAGUGACGGUACCUGCAGAAGAAGCACCGGCUAACUACGUGCCAGCAGCCGCGGUAAUACGUAGGGUGCAAGCGUUGUCCGGAAUUAUUAGGCGUAAAGAGCUCGUAGGUGGUUUGCCACGUCGGAUGUGAAAACCUGAGGCUUAACCUCAGGCCUGCAUUCGAUACGGGCAGACUAGAGUGUGGUAGGGGAGACUGGAAUUCCU
rnacentral:rRNA from 1 species